UAUUCUGAAGCUAUGUUUGCUUUCAGCGAGACUCAUCAAUGCGUCCCUUAAUUACUCUGCUGAUCGUUGUGAAGAUUUUUACUCGUACGCCUGUGGAGGGUGGCUAACUGAACACGAUAUACCAGAGGACGAUCUAGCGUUUGGUGUUUAUGAGAAGUUGGAACAAGAUAUGCAGAAAACAAUAGAAGACUUGCUUGGAAACUUGAGCAGCGCUGGGUGUAAAGAAAACAUUGUGGGCAAUCUAGAAGCCAUGUACAAAAAGUGUUUGGAUAAGAUUGAUAUUCCUGGCGAUUUCGCCAAUGUUCUAAAGGCAUCUGGAUUUAAUAACUGGCCAAUCAACAGUACCAGAAAUGGCGAUUGUGGAUGGACUCUUCCGGAUUUCUUUAACCAUUCUGGAAUUAAUGCACUGUUUGAUAUGGCGGUAAUUACAGACCGUAGAAACGCCUCGAACUUCAUCAUUAGGGUAAUUGGAAAUUUUGUUUUAUCCGUGCUGACC